GAUCCUGGUGUGGAGGCAGUCCGAACCGAGGCGGGUCCUGGAGUUAGGUCCUGGAGGCGAGUCCCAGAGAACAAUUGUCCAUGUUCCCUCGGUCUUGACAACAGAUCACUGCCUGCAGGCAGUGAACCUUGAAGGUAGUGGACUGGGUGCCAAUUAAGCAGGCUGCUUCAACCUGGACGGUGUCAGGUUUCCUGAGUGUUGUUGAAGCAGCAUCCAUCCAGGC